rnacentral:sRNA from 1 species
AUGAAAACUGCCUGAUUCGUUGGUCUGUACCCGAACCGCCGCGGACAGAAAUCAUAAGCUUUAAGAGAUCUCUUCGGCUGUUCUGUGAUAAACGAACGUUCUGUUGUUCCAAAAUCUUGUACGAGAGAUCGAUCGAUUUGCCAUGCUUUAGAUUAGAGCGGGUCAAUGUGUGAAAGCAAUUUUGGCGUGGGUUUAUUGUGUUUUGGGUGCUAUGAUUGAGUGUUUCGCUAUGGAAGGGCGGCGAAGGGAUCGUUUAUCAGGUUACGGAAGACUGAAUCGUGUCUAACUAAUGACUUGAUUGAAAAUAUAACAUUCUUACCUAAUGCC